rnacentral:rRNA from 1 species
GACGAACGCUGGCGGCGUGCUUAACACAUGCAAGUCGAACGGAAAGGCCCUGCUUUUGUGGGGUGCUCGAGUGGCGAACGGGUGAGUAACACGUGAGUAACCUGCCCUUGACUUUGGGAUAACUUCAGGAAACUGGGGCUAAUACCGGAUAGGAGCUCCUGCUGCAUGGUGGGGGUUGGAAAGUUUCGGCGGUUGGGUUGGACUCGCGGCUUAUCAGCUUGUUGGUGGGGUAGUGGCUUACCAAGGCUUUGACGGGUAGCCGGCCUGAGAGGGUGACCGGCCACAUUGGGACUGAGAUACGGCCCAGACUCCUACGGGAGGCAGCAGUGGGGAAUAUUGCACAAUGGGCGGAAGCCUGAUGCAGCAACGCCGCGUGCGGGAUGACGGCCUUCGGGUUGUAAACCGCUUUCGCCUGUGACGAAGCGUGAGUGACGGUAAUGGGUAAAGAAGCACCGGCUAACUACGUG